GGGCCCAUAGCUCAGUCGGUAGAGCAACUGACUUUUAAUCAGUAGGUCGCUGGUUCGAAUCCAGCUGGGCUCA
rfam:Novosphingobium sp. Fuku2-ISO-50 genomic scaffold PRJNA299316_s013, whole genome shotgun sequence.